GACGAACCGAGCGAACGUUGUUCGGAAUCACUGGGCUUAAAGGGCGCGUAGGCGGGUGCUCAAGUCCGUGGUGAAAUCCUCCGGCUCAACCGGAGAACUGCCUCGGAUACUGGGCGUCUCGAGUGUGGUAGGGGUAUGCGGAACUAUCGGUGGAGCGGUGAAAUGCGUUGAUAUCGAUAGGAACUCCGGUGGCGAAGGCGGCUUCCUGGACCAGUACCGACGUUCAGGCACGAAAGCGUGGGGAGCAAACAGG
rnacentral:rRNA from 1 species